rnacentral:lncRNA from 7 species
AGAAAACUCCAGGUUAUGUAACAGCCUCUGUGGGAACCUACUCUGCUUCUUUUUACUGAGAAAUGAUAAGAGACUCACUGCCGUGGAAGGGGUCCAUGUUCUCUCAUGAUGAUCAUGGCCAGUGCCUCCAUCAGAAGCCCCUUACGUCCAACGGAUUUGCUGCAAAGACAAAGACCUUGAAUAACUUGCUCAUGGCCAACAGCUAUUUUGCGUCUUGAAGCCUGCUGCUUUGGAGACAACAGUAGCUAGUACCAGUGGGACAGGGAGGUGGGACUGCCAUGCUACCACAGUUAUGCUGGAAUGGGCAAAGAGCAGCGACGUAGCAAGGACUCAGGAAAAGGCACAGCCCUCCCAGACAUGCCUCUGAGACAAGCAGUACCCAGAGACAAAGACUGCCAAGCCCUGCAGCUGGAGGAGUGCCAGGCAUCUCUUCCACAAAAUGGUUUCAAUUUUAAGCCUUUAGGAUGAAAUCUUUUUGUGUUUUGAUAAACCGUGGUAUGCUUUGCUAAAUGUUUCUGUUUGUUUUGGUGACUUUGGAAAGCAAGUAACUUGUGUUCUUAAUAGAAAGCAGAACAGUUGCAUGCACACAGGCACAAACUGGCACGUGCUUCAAAUAGGCUUUCAGCUUCUGAAGUUUCUGUUCAAAAUCCAGAAUCUCUAUGAAAAUCUUCAUUUUUGGUCAAAAACAUAAGUUUUCACUGGCUGCAAGCAAAAUAUAAAGAGAUGAAAAUACCUGAUACAAAGGAAGGAGGAACUUAUAGGAUGGAAAAUACACUCAGGACAUAGAAUUAUUCUUUUUCAACGUACAUAUGUAUGUAUAUAUUUCAAUGCACACAAUGCAUGCAGGUGGAGAACUUUUACUUUGGCAUGAAUGCUGCUAACCCUUUUACAUGCGUAUGGAGAGGCUGAUUCUUUAAUAUAGCAGCCAUGAUUUCACUUUCGUUGUAUCAGGAUGACUCUCUGUGUUCAAAUAUGCUUUUUUCCUCAUAUGAGAAAUGAUAUUGUAUCAAGGCCAAUGCUGAAUUACAAAGUGGUUUUCCUUCCCUAC